UACGAAGGGGGGCUAGCGUUGCUCGGAAUCACUGGGCGUAAAGCGCACGUAGGCGGCUUACUAAGUCAGGGGUGAAAUCCUGGAGCUCAACUCCAGAACUGCCUUUGAUACUGGUAGCUCGAGUCCGGGAGAGGUGAGUGGAACUGCGAGUGUAGAGGUGAAAUUCGUAGAUAUUCGCAAGAACACCAGUGGCGAAGGCGGCUCACUGGCCCGGUACUGACGCUGAGGUGCGAAAGCGUGGGGAGCAACAGG
rnacentral:rRNA from 1 species